rnacentral:rRNA from 1 species
UACGUAGGGUGCGAGCGUUGUCCGGAAUUACUGGGCGUAAAGCGCGCGUAGGCGGACCUGCAAGUCGGGGGGUGAAAGCCCGAGGCUCAACCUCGGAACUGCCUUCGAUACUGCGGGUCUCGAGUCCGGGAGAGGUGAGUGGAAUUCCUAGUGUAGAGGUGAAAUUCGUAGAUAUUAGGAAGAACACCAGUGGCGAAGGCGGCUCACUGGCCCCGGUACUGACGCUGAGGCGCGAAAAGCGUGGGGGAGCAA